rnacentral:rRNA from 1 species
GGAGGGUGCGAGCGUUGUCCGGAAUCACUGGGCGUAAAGGGCGCGUAGGUGGCCUGUGGAAGUCUGCGGUGAAAGCCCGGCGCUCAACGCCGGGUCGGCCGUGGAUACUCUCGGGCUUGAGCUUACUAGAGGCAGAUGGAAUUCCGGGUGUAGCGGUGGAAUGCGUAGAGAUCCGGAAGAACACCGGUGGCGAAGGCGGUCUGCUGGGGUAAUGCUGACACUGAUGCGCGACAGCGUGGGGAGCAAACAGGAUUAGAUACCCUGGUAGUCCACGCCGUAAACGAUGGGCACUAGGUGCUUGGGGGAGCGACCCCCUGAGUGCCGUCGCUAACGCAUUAAGUGCCCCGCCUGGGGAGUACGGCCGCAAGGGUG